rnacentral:misc_RNA from 1 species
GCGUUUAAAAAACCAGUGAAAAUAUGAUCUUUAGAUUUGUAUAGAUUUUACAAUCCCUCUCUAAGAAGUCCAAAUUUUUUUAUUCAGUUUUUUACUUAAAUUCAGAUUGCAAGGAAUUUUCUAAAACCGCACCUGUAUACAUCUACGAAGUAUUCCGCAACAUUUCAAUGUGUUACAAGAUUCCUGUUUAUUUGAGACGCAAAAACAGAAUUUGUAAGAAGUUUUGACAAAAGUACAGUUCUAAUGCGUUGAUGAACUUUCUAGAAUAAAUGUUGAAAAUCAAUUUGAUUGGUUUGUUUGAAUUUGGUACAAAGAUCGAAGCUCGUAAUUGGCUCUGAAGAACGGAAGCCGGAAAUUGCGUAGUGACAGGAUCAAGGAAUUUUGGCAGGAGACGGAGAAGAAAGCAGGCAUUCUUACAAUGGUAGUGAAUCAGUAAACAUCGAUAGUGAGUUACCGGCUUUUUUGUGACGCAAAAAGAAUUUCCAAGUAAAUGGGAUCUAUCAAAGUUCUUCUGUGUUGUUGUUAAGUAGGUGUACCAUCAGUUUGAUGGUGUAGCAGUUCCUUUUUUGAUGGUAAAAGUGUAAUAUACGCUUUGUAAAAAUACUGCGUAUGUAUUUAUGAAAGCCGGCAUAGUACUAAUAUCGUAGUGAUGAAUUAAACCCAAGCCUCCCGUCUCCUGGAUUAGAAAACCUAUUUCCCGAGGUAAAUAAGCAAAUUUCUUUUGUUUUAUGGUAUUUUCAUGGUAUAAUGGUAUAUGGUGCAAUCAGUAAUUUUCCAUUGACAUUUUCCCCUUCGAGUGACGUAUGAACUACGUACGUGCUGUCAAGUGUCAUGUCAAGUUUCACAAUGGUGAAGUUUUGAAUUUUAAGGUAUAGUGACUUUUAAUAAUUAUAAAAUUCUCAAACUAAUAACGUUAAUUUCUUUCAACAUAAAAAAAAUAAAUCUUUUUGGAACUUAAAAUACAAAGAUGAAAAAGUAAAUUGUUGAACAGAACAAAGAAUAAUUUUGCUUCCAUCAUUAAAAUAUUAUUGUAAAGACAUAAUUGUAAGUUAAUGUUAAAAUCCUUUUUGAAACCUUUUGAAAUAGUUAAAAAUAAAAGAUUUACGGAAUGAUAUUUGACAGGUGACAUAGUUGUUGUUAUUUUCAAUAAUUAAGUACUACGAGGAGUAGUCAGUAAUUCUUUAAUGUAAACAUUGUUCCCUGAAUGAAUAUAAAUUUUUGUUUUAAUGCAAAUGCUAUAAUAUAUGUCAUAAUUAGGUCAGUCAGUCAGUUAUACAAGUCAUAAUUAAGUCAGAUAUCAAAUCCUCAAUGCAAUAAUAUUAUUGUUUAUCUUUUGGUGCACCAUAACCUAUGUUCAGAAAAGUAGAUGUAUUUUUUUUUACAGCUUUUUAGAGUCAAAUUUUAAGAUGUUGGAUGAUCAUAGAAAGUAAAACUCCUGGUAAGGCGCCCUAACAAAAUAUAGCCAGGAUUUAUAUUUAACACCCCAGGAUAUCUGUAAGUACCCUUGUUUAAAUUUUUGAUAGUAGUAAAUAUUCCCUAAUCCCUAACUUCUUCUUAACGAACUCACAACCUUAGCUCUCCAACCAAAACACGAGCCGCCGUAGCAAAGUAGUUUUUAGAAAUAUCCCCUAGUUUUCUCGACCCUUUUGUAUUUAAGCAGUAUCUAAAUUUUCCAAGCUUUUAUCUUCCCCCUUAUUUCUAAGUGCUA